AUUGAACGCUGGCGGCAGGCCUAACACAUGCAAGUCGAACGGUAACAGGAAGACGCUUGCUUCUUUGCUGACGAGUGGCGGACGGGUGAGUAAUGUCUGGGAAACUGCCUGAUGGAGGGGGAUAACUACUGGAAACGGUAGCUAAUACCGCAUAACGUCGCAAGACCAAAGAGGGGGACCUUCGGGCCUCUUGCCAUCGGAUGUGCCCAGAUGGGAUUAGCUAGUAGGUGGGGUAACGGCUCACCUAGGCGACGAUCCCUAGCUGGUCUGAGAGGAUGACCAGCCACACUGGAACUGAGACACGGUCCAGACUCCUACGGGAGGCAGCAGUGGGGAAUAUUGCACAAAGGGCGCAAGCCUGAUGCAGCCAUGCCGCGUGUAUGAAGAAGGCCUUCGGGUUGUAAAGUACUUUCAGCGGGGAGGAAGGGAGUAAAGUUAAUACCUUUACUCAUUGACGUUACCCGCAGAAGAAGCACCGGCUAACUCCGUG
rnacentral:rRNA from 1 species